CCUACGGGAGGCAGCAGUAAGGAAUAUUGGUCAAUGGUGGCAACACUGAACCAGCCAUGCCGCGUGCAGGAUGAAGGUUCUAUGAAUUGUAAACUGCUUUUAUACGGGAAAAAACUUUCGAACGUGUUCGGAACUGAUGGUACCGUAAGAAUAAGGAUCGGCUAACUUCGUGCCAGCAGCCGCGGUAAGACGAAGGAUCCAAGCGUUAUCCGGAUUUAUUGGGUUUAAAGGGUGCGUAGGUGGACUUGUAAGUCAGUGGUGAAAGCCCGAUGCUUAACAUCGGAACUGCCAUUGAUACUGCAAGUCUUGAAUAUGUUUGAAGUGGGCGGAAUGUGUCGUGUAGCGGUGAAAUGCUUAGAUAUGACACAGAACACCGAUUGCGAAGGCAGCUCACUAAACCAUUAUUGACACUGAGGCACGAAAGCGUGGGGAGCAAACAGGAUUAGAUACCCUGGUAGUCCACGCCCUAAACGUUGAAUACUCGAUAUGUGCGAUACACUGUACGUGUCCAAGAGAAAUCGUUAAGUAUUCCACCUGGGGAGUACGCUCGCAAGAGAGAACGACAAGAAGUAGUAGACGNGAGAGAGCGACGACGACGACGAGGAGGAGGAG
rnacentral:rRNA from 1 species